AGAGUUUGAUCCUGGCUCAGGAUGAACGCUGGCGGCGUGCUUAACACAUGCAAGUCGAACGGAGAUUAUACGCAGAGGCGAUUUCGGUCAAAUCAUGUGUAAUCUUAGUGGCGGACGGGUGAGUAACGCGUGGGUAACCUGCCUUACACUGGGGGAUAACACUUAGAAAUAGGUGCUAAUACCGCAUAAGCGCACGAAGCCGCAUGGAUUUGUGUGAAAAACUCCGGUGGUGUAAGAUGGACCCGCGUCUGAUUAGCUUGUUGGCGGGGUAACGGCCCACCAAGGCGACGAUCAGUAGCCGGCCUGAGAGGGUGGACGGCCACAUUGGGACUGAGACACGGCCCAAACUCCUACGGGAGGCAGCAGUGGGGGAUAUUGGACAAUGGGGGGAACCCUGAUCCAGCGACGCCGCGUGAGUGAAGAAGUAUUUCGGUAUGUAAAGCUCUGUCAGCAGGGAAGAAAGAAAUGACGGUACCUGACCAAGAAGCCCCGGCUAACUACGUG
rnacentral:rRNA from 1 species